CAUGAAGCUGGAAUCGCUAGUAAUCGCGAAUCAGAAUGUCGCGGUGAAUACGUUCCCGGGUCUUGUACACACCCGCCCGUCACACCAUGGGAGUUGGAAAUGCCCGAAGUCAGUGACCCAACCGCAAGGAGGGAGCUGCCGAAGGCAGGUCCGGUAACUGGGGUGAAGUCGUAACAAGGUAGC
rnacentral:rRNA from 1 species